UUAAGGCACUUCGUAUAUAUGUUAACGUCUCUUCAGCGAACUUAUAAGCAACUUCCAUCAUGCAAAUAAAAUUCUGAAGCAAGAAACCAUUUCACAUAUUCAUAAACACCUCCAACAACCACCCAGCCUUCCACCUAUGUUGAACCAUCAUAACCACCACCCCUGUUAAGAGUAUCAGACCAUUACCGAACCACCCAAAGCACACCCGAACUAGCUUUUCUACUUUCUGUUGCCUUUGUUCGAUCCAUUAGAAGCACCAAAACCCGACAUCACCGUCACCUUCAUUAUUCCGGCCAAACCUAAACGAACUCAAACACUAAAUAAUACCAUUGUUACAUGUCUUCAUCUUGUUAGUAACCUUUGAACCACCGCACUUGACCUCACAACACGAACCGAUAUUUUCCGGCAAUCCCAUAGAGUAGACGUCUCAACCCAAGGAGUAGCUACCUAUGUAUUGUCACGUUUUAAGUUUGGCUCAUGGGUUCGCAGGUUACUUCGGGCGGGGUAAAGAGAGAAGAAUAAAGCCUAGGACUAAAUCUGAAGAUGUUAGUUAAUCAAGUCGAAUGUGUCCGCUUGUAUAUUAACAUCAAGUUUAGUUGUCGUGUGGUUGUAUCCUUGUCGAAUAAAUAAAUGGAAUUAUGACUUUUGU
rnacentral:lncRNA from 1 species